GCUGUGAUGGCCGAGAGGUUAAGGCGUUGGAUUCAAAAUCCAAUGGGGUUUCCCUGUGCAGAUUCAAAUCCAGCUCGCAGCA